UUAAAACAACAAAAGAAAGAAGCCAACAUUAGAUGAGAAAUCAGAACCAUUAUACAGGAGGAGAAAACAGGCUGACGCUGGUUAAGGUUCGCUUCCAGUGACAAACUUCUGCAUAAAAUGAGCUCUUGCUCCUCAAUACACCUAGAAGUUGCACCUUUAAUAACUAUGCUGGCAAUAGGCCAGAAGCAUUACCUAAGACACAAAUACCACCUGCAAUAACCUAAACGUGUCAUCUAACCAUCUAAAACCCCCCAAACCCUGUAAAACUUUCUUUCCCUUAACUGUACAAGCUACCAAUAAGACUAUUAGCUAACAAUAUACCAAACUUAUUUCCUCCUGUAAUCCACUCAAUUAGCACAUAAAUUAUGGAUUACUGGUGGUUAUAAAUGAGAGACAAAGUAAUUUCACAUCAACACACAGCACCGCACUAGAAAUGAUGAAUCAAAAUCAAGUCCAGGCUGCUAAAGUACCAAAACUGAAAGUGCCAUAGGUAUAUGACACCCAAUUCAGCAGUCAAUCAAGUUAAUAAUACAUUGGCAACUACUAAACCUCGUUGAACUUUAACAUUUACAACUGCCAGUACUUCAUAAAAUGCGUUUUAUGAGUAAAUUUAAUAACUCAAGAAUACAAUUGAAAAAAUGAUUUAAAAUUCAGAAAACAGGA
rnacentral:misc_RNA from 1 species